CCGGAACAGAUAGGUGCUGUUUUGAAGAAAUCCAAGAGAUAUCCUGUGAAGAAACCAAAUCAAGAUGAAGCGAGCAAAUUGGUCGGAAAUUCAUAGGUCUUCAGUUACCAGUGUUGGAAAUAUUUAUUUUGUGAACGAAUCAUGCUCAGCUGCCGGAUUGGUCAUGGACUUGAGAUGCUCUCCGAUGUUUCUGACGAAAUUUUUGAAGAAGUUACCAUCUUCCUCAACAGGACGUAAUUUGGCUGCGCGGAUGAUACUCCUCAAAUCACUUCCCAUCGAUAGAAGCAGCAUGUCAACAAGGCGUUUUGGGUUCCGAGCAUUGGCAAGAGAAGCGGCAAUUUCGAAAUCUUCGAUGAAAUGCAUCCAAGCCUCCCACAUUUUGGAUGCCGGAACGUUUUUCGGAAAGGGCUUUACUGUAUCCCAACGAAUCACACCCUCGCCAGAAUGAGCCACCGGAUGAAUUGUGGAGUUUGUAUCCUGUGACUUCCUUAAAUCGUCAAUCACACUCUGUAUUUCCCGUACUUUUGAUUCCAAGUUCAUCUCAGGAUUUGGAAGCUCGGCAGAAUAAUGGGAAUAAUCCAUGUCGUCAUUAAGAGGAUAUUGGGGAUCAUGGACAACUCGAACGUAUUUUCCCGCAUCGCUGUCCUCCGAUUCAAUUCCCGAUGGUGCUCGGACAUAUUUUCCCGGGGAGUUCAUUUUCGAAGCUGUUGAAAUAAAACGUUCCAUUCAUA